CACUACUUGGCAGGGGUCCCUGUGCUGUGUUGGCACGUGGGGAUGGGGAACCUCCUACCGAGAACCUAAUUUGUCAACACCCUGGGCUCAGAGGAGAAAAACAGAAGCCGGGGUCUCGUUAGCUUUGAACGCCCACAGUCCCUUGCAUCCGAGUGGCUGCUGCGACUCAGGCGCGGCCUGUGUAAAUAGCGCCGGAUGGGAUUGUAGCUAAUAGGGUUAUUAAUACCUGUCACAUCCCAGGAUGGCAGAAUAAUGUGGAGGUUUUCUACUAUAGAUUAAAACCAACCAACAGGGAAUUUUCCUGAGUCUGGCAGUCACAGCUUUCUCUUCAGACAACUUUUCCUCCAGCCAUGCAGACGGGGUAAGUAAUCGUCCCAGGGAAAGGUUUGUCACCAUGGUAAAUGCAAAAGCUGGAACAAACCUGCCUCACUUAGCCUCAGGCGAGAACAUGGGUAUUUGAAAUUCACAGAUAAUCCCAAACCUCCCAGUGGUCUGCAGCUUUGACCUCUUUCCUUGCCCAGGCAGUCACCCCAAAGAAAAGCCAUCUUUAUUUGGGCUUUGUGCCUCUGCUUCUAGGUGGACAGAAUAAGAGGGCAGAGAGCUGAGGCGAGAAGGGGACAGCAUGUGGACUCCAGGGUUCUGCAGGUGCCUGGAGCCUGGGACAGAAGUGGAACCACCCAAGCUGGUGACUGUGCUGCUCCCUCCCGCCACAAGUGCCUGAGGUGUGGUCCUAUCUCUUCGCUUUCACUGAGGUACCCACACGGCCAAGGAGAAGGCCCUGCUGGGGAACUGGACCCUCACGACAUAAGCCACUCUGCCACACCUCACUGGAUGAGCCUCCACAGAGAAGCACUCCAGACUGUCAAUGUCCCAGUCUUGGAAGACCAGUCCCAACUACAAACAGGAUAACGCUAGCAUGCCUCUGCUUCAGUAUUGAGUUAGUCUCUUCCUGCCUCCUGUCACCCUAUUUGUACUCCACAUGUCAAGCCAGAGAGUUUCCUCCAAUGCUGAGGAGUUCCAGAGGCCGAGUUUCCUACCUGAUGCUCCACCAGCGACAGUGUGUUCAUGAAGCGAGCCAAGAUCCCAGUAGCACUCUCUCCUGCAGGUGUGUGGCCUGCUACUUUCCAUUCUUCUUGUGAGCUUUUGAAGAUUGUUGGCCAGGUGUUGGAAUAGACACCCUGGAUAACACUCAGAUGUGCUCUUCCAUAACACUAUUCCAUAGAUUACAAGUGCAACAAAGGCAAAGACUUUUGUCUAGUUCAUUCAUUGAUAUAUGCCACACAACUGGGAUAUUAGAAUAGUUACUGGCACAAAGCAGGUGCUUGGUAAGUACUCACUGACUAUCCUACCUCCUGCCUUAAUCUUUUGGUUUCUCCUUACCUUCUAACACAGGCU
rnacentral:lncRNA from 1 species